AUGACUCUGAUGAAGAUGAGCCGUACGAGUAUGAAUCUAGAGAUGAUGUGGACGAGGGGAACGUCGAGUCCUUUAAAGAGAAGGAGGUGCAGAAGAUCAGGGCCCAAGGACCUGCCAUGUACUACAACUGGAGGAAGGACAAGUACAGGUGCCCCUACUGCAGCAAGCCCAAGCCCAGCUCUGGGUUGCAGGAGCAUCUGA
rnacentral:rRNA from 1 species